AUACGGAGGGUGCAAGCGUUAUUCGGAAUUACUGGGCGUAAAGCGCGCGUAGGCGGAUGAUUAAGUCAGUUGUGAAAGCCCUGGGCUCAACCUAGGAACUGCAUCUGAUACUGGUCGUCUAGAGUUUAAGAGAGGGAAGUGGAAUUCCAGGUGUAGCAGUGAAAUGCGUAGAUAUCUGGAGGAACAACAGUGGCGAAGGCGACUUCCUGGCUUAAAACUGACGCUGAGGUGCGAAAGCGUGGGUAGCGAACGGGAUUAGAAACCCCAGUAGUCC
rnacentral:rRNA from 1 species